GGGCACUAUGGAGCCUGGUCUAAGGUAGGGUACUAUGGAGCCUGGUCUAAGGUAGGGCACUAUGGAGCCUGGUCUAAGGUAGGGUACUAUGGAGCCUGGUCUAAGGUAGGGCACUAUGGAGCCUGGUCUAAGGUAGGGCACUAUGGAGCCUGGUCUAAGGUAGGGCACUAUGGAGCCUGGUCUAAGGUAGGGUACUAUGGAGCCUGGUCUAAGGUAGGGUACUAUGGAGCCUGGUCUAAGGUAGGGUACUAUGGAGCCUGGUCUAAGGUAGGGUACUAUGAAGGGAAUAGAUGAGGGUGUGUUUGUUCAUGUUAUUGAUCAUCAAGACAAGGAGGUUGAGAAAGAGACAUUAAGUUCAACACCACUGUUAAUGACCCAGAGUCGACCCGUUCUGUUGGGUCACUGUCUCCAGGGUUAAUGUUAGUACUGCCAUAGUGGUUCUGUUGGGUCACUGUCUCCAGGGUUAAUGUUAGUACUGCCAUAGUGGUUCUGUUGGGUUAAUGUUAGUACUGCCAUAGUGGUUCUGUUGGGUCACUGUCUCCAGGGUUAAUGUUAGUACUGCCAUAGUGGUUCUGUUGGGUUAAUGUUAGUACUGCCAUAGUGGUUCUGUUGGGUUAAUGUUAGUACUGCCAUAGUGGUUCUGUUGGGUCACUGUCUCCAGGGUUAAUGUUAGUACUGCCAUAGUGGUUCUGUUGGGUUAAUGUUAGUACUGCCAUAGUGGUUCUGUUGGGUCACUGUCUCCAGGGUUAAUGUUAGUACUGCCAUAGUGGUUCUGCUGGGUUAAUGUUAGUACUGCCAUAGUGGUUCUGUUGGGUCACUG